rnacentral:rRNA from 1 species
GACAGAGGAUGCAAGCGUUAUCCGGAAUUAUUGGGCGUAAAGAGCUCGUAGGCGGUCUGUCACGUCGGCUGUGAAAACCCGAGGCUCAACCUCGGGCCUGCAGUCGAUACGGGCAGACUAGAGUUCGGUAGGGGAGACUGGAAUUCCUGGUGUAAGCGGUGAAAUGCGCAGAUAUCAGGAGGAACACCGAUGGCGAAGGCAGGUCUCUGGGCCGAUACUGACGCUGAGGAGCGAAAGCGUGGGGAGCAAACAGG